UUCAAUAUUCAUUCUCGCCUGUGAGUUUUUCAGUUUCGCUGCUGGCUUUUCAUUCACUCCGCCCCGUUUUUCGUUUCCACUGUUUUUUCAGUUUCGCUGCUGGCUUUUCAUUCACUCCGCCCCGUUUUUCGUUUCCACUCUUUUUUCAGUUUCGCUGCUGGCUUUUCAGUCACUCCGCCCAGUUUUUCGUUUCCACAGAUCUCUCGUGUGGGCGGGGCUUCGCCUCAUUUGCCAGCAGGUAUUUGAGUGACAGCUCCGUGCCCCGUGAACUCUAUCACUGCGAGAUGCGCGGGCUUCUAAGAAGACGGACGGCAAGCAACAACCGCCAGUUAAGAUCACGUAUUGUGCACACGAUCAACUGCACGAUUAAGCAAUUCGAACUAUCGUUGCUCUUGAGCUGAACCUAAACAGGCCUCGACCACCAUGGAGUGCCAGAGAUGGUUGCUGGCUUAGAAACUCUGCUUUUCGAGGGAGAGGAUGGCAGGGGAAAAAUGCCCAAAUACUCUUUAAAUGACCUUGACAGUGGCAUUUUCCGUGUUGCUGGGGAAAUUUUUGCUGCAAGUCUUGCACAGGGUGGUCCAGCACCAGCGUUUUUACAAGAAUGGUGCUACGAUUUCCUUUUGACGGGAGAUCUAAAAAACAUUACAAGAAAUGAUGUACAUGACAUGGAAUUUUCAUCUUUGAUCAAGAUGGUUGAGGAAUCUUCAGAUCUGUCAUCUUGCACAGAACAGAUUAUCAGAUGUGGCUAUGCAGGGCCUAUUAACGAAGAAAACAAAGACAAAAUAACAAGGUUCAUGUUAUAUUCAUAUAAUGAAAACUUUUUACAUUAUACAUCACUACCAGUUUGUCUGUCUGUCCACUACUUAGCUGCCAGAAAGCUUAAAUCUAUUGUCUCAUGUUUUGUUGAGCACAUUAAGGAUGUCAUUAUGAAUAUUAUUGACCCUGUAAAUACUGAUGUCAUUACCCUGACUGUAGACACCUGAAUAGAUGUUUUUGAGUGUUUUUUGUAUUUAUUUGACUGACCUGGAGCAAAAAAAAAAAAAACAAAUUAAGUCAAGACAAGACACAUUUUCUUGUUUUCAAGACACAUUAAAACAAGACUUUGACAUA